GGUGGCUCAGUGGUAGAGUGCUUGCCUUGCAAGCAUGAGGCCCUCGGUUCGAAUCCUCAGCACCA
rnacentral:tRNA from 1 species